GUCUUGCGUUUUGUUAUGUUUAGGAUCAGCUGUAACCUCAACAAAACAGCUGGCCAAGUCCUUGACCCAAUUAAUAAAAUCAGUGCUUUGAAACAUUGAAACAUGCGUCCCCGAUCAGUGACAAUUAAUUUUGGAGUUCCAAAGAGAGACACCAUGGUAGUGAAGUGUUGCUUUAGUUCGUCAGUGUCUUGUCGGAACAUGGGAUACAAUAAACAAAAUUUUGAAAACGCGUCUAUAAUAAUAAGUACAUGACGGUGACCGUCAGUUUCUGGUAGGGGGCCCAAGGUGUCCAUAUGGACUGCCUCAAAUGCUACGUCUGGUUUUCUCCCAUGAAUGAAUGAGCCGUGAAAGAGCACGAGCUACCUUUUUAUGAGAAAGGCAAACCAAACAAUGGGAAAUGUUUUUUUUUUUUUCUUUGCAAAUGUUCUCAACCCUGGGAACUAAAAGUGUUUUGUUAUCAAGUCUACAGUUUUAUCAACCCCUUGAUGAUCAUGUUCGUCGUGAAAAUACACAUAAGACAGUCUAUGGCCUUUUGGAAUAUAACAACAAAAAUUAGGAUUUUCACCAAUAGGUGAGAGCUUGACUUAAAGGAUGUCAUAACGACUGAGGUUUAACUGCCCAUUCACCAGUUUUUGUUUUAGAGAGUGAGUUUUCUCGUCAGAAGCCUGAGCAACUUGCGCCCAAUUUAGCGGUCUUUUAAUGGUUAGAAUCGAAUUCUUGGAGGUAUACCCACCACCGAGCCACCCUUGGCAACAAGUCUUUCUUACGUUGGCGUCUUCAGUUCGUACGAGUGCUACUUCCUCUCAGCCCCCUGAGUGAGUCUACUACAAUAAGGCAGUACUCGUUUACGAUUUCCCUUAUGCACUCUCAUCAUGACGACUCCGUAACCAAUCGAGCUCGC